CCUGGCUAAAAAAUAUGUGACCGCCCCCCAACUGUUUCCACCUCCCCACCCUGCUAAAUUAUGACCAGUCCCUUAAUCUAGAAUUAAUGAACCAAUGAUUGUUUUUUUGUGCUACUAUUUGGAGGCUGAGUUAUGCUUUGAUUUGACUGGUACAGGUUCAUAAUAAAACUACCUGUAUAUUUUAAUAUAUUCAAAUGUUCAAAAUAAUUGUAUAGUUUUUGGAUUAUUUAAUUAAUAAUAAAUUCAAAUUUUGAAAUGAUCAUUUCUGUUUUCUGAAUUGUUU